UGUGACUGUUCCCAGCAGGGCAAAUCUUGUAAUUAUCUCCUCCUUUUUUAGGUUAGACUUGCCCCUACUUGUUUGCCAGUUUAUCAGCAUUGUUUCAGGUCUGGUCCCUGCACUAUCCUCCGUGAGCCAUAGCUUGCUGCUUUCAUGUGUUACUCUGAGUCUUCCAGAGUUUGUUGCUUUCCUGUGUUACCCUCAGUGUUCCAGUUUAAGCUGCUUUCCUGAGUUACCCUCGGUGUUCCAGAUCAAGCUGUUUUCCUGUGUUACCUUCAGUGUUCCAUAGCAUGCUGCUUUCCUGAGUUGCCUUUUGUGUUCCGGAUCAAGCUGUUUUCCUGAGUUACCCUUGGUGUUCCGGAUCAAGCUACUUUCCUAAGUUACCCUUGUUGUUCCAGAUCAAGCUGCUUUCCUAAGUUACUCUUGGUGUUCCAGAUCAAGCUGUUUUCCUGAGUUACCCUUGGUGUUUUGGAUCAAGCUACUUUCCUAAGUUACCCUCGGUGUUCCAGAUCAAGCUGCUUUUCUGAGUUACCCUCAGUGUUCCAGAUCAAGCUGCUUUCCUGAGUUACCCUCGGUGUUCCGGAUCAAGCUGCUUUCCUGAGUUACCCUCGGUGUUCCGGAUCAAGCUACUUUCCUAAGUUACCCUCGGUGUCCGGAUCAAGCUGCUUUCCCGUGUUACCUGCAGUGUUCCAUAUCAAGCUGCUUUCCUGAGUUACCCUCUGUGUUCCAGAUCAAGCUACUUUCCUAAGUUACCCUCAUUCCAGAUCAAGCUGCUUUCCUAAGUUACUCUCGGUAUUCCAGAUCAAGCUGCUUUUUCUGAGUUACCCUCGGUGUUCCAGAUCAAGCUGCUCUCCUGAGUAUUUCAGAGCAAGCCAAUUCCCUGUGCAAACCCCCAGUGUUCCAGAGCAACCUGCUUUCUUGUGCAAACCCUCAGUGUGGCAAAGCAAGCCGAUUUACUGUACAAUCCACCAGUGUUCUAGAGCAAGCUGCUUUCUUGUGCAAACCCACAUAGUUCCAGAGCGAACUGCUUUCCUGUGAAAACCCUUAGUGUUCCACAGACACUGCACCCGUCCUUAUAUUGAGUUAUCUGUUUUGCAUUUGUUAUUCUUUCGUUUUUCU